UACGUAGGUGGCAAGCGUUGUCCGGAUUUACUGGGUGUAAAGGGCGUGUAGCCGGGUCGGCAAGUCAGAUGUGAAAUCCACGGGCUUAACUCGUGAACUGCAUUUGAAACUGUUGAUCUUGAGUAUCGGAGAGGCAAUCGGAAUUCCUAGUGUAGCGGUGAAAUGCGUAGAUAUUAGGAGGAACACCAGUGGCGAAGGCGGAUUGCUGGACGACAACUGACGGUGAGGCGCGAAAGCGUGGGGAGCAAACAGG
rnacentral:rRNA from 1 species